UACGUAGGGAGCAAGCGUUGUCCGGAAUCAUUGGGCGUAAAGCGCGCGUAGGUGGCUUCGUAAGUCCGUUGUGAAAGUCAAAGGCUCAACCUUUGAAAGCCGAUGGAUACUGCGGAGCUAGAGUACGGAAGAGGCGAGUGGAAUUCCUGGCGUAGCGGUGGAAUGCGCAGAUAUCAGGAGGAACACCAAUAGCGAAGGCAGCUCGCUGGGACGUUACUGACACUGAGGCGCGAAAGCGUGGGGAGCGAACAGGAAUUAGAUACCGACCGAGUC
rnacentral:rRNA from 1 species